rnacentral:rRNA from 1 species
GAGUUUGAUCCUGGCUCAGGAUGAACGCUGGCGGCGUGCCUAACACAUGCAAGUCGAACGGAGUGUUUUCUUCGGAGGACACUUAGUGGCGGACGGGUGAGUAACGCGUGGGUAAUCUGCCUUACAUAGGGGGACAACAGUUGGAAACGACUGCUAAUACCGCAUAAGCCGGUAGGACCGCAUGGUCCAUCCGGAAAAGAUUCAUCGGUGUAAGAUGAGCCCGCGUCUGAUUAGUCAGUUGGCGGGGUAACGGCCCACCAAGACGACGAUCAGUAGCCGACCUGAGAGGGUGAUCGGCCACAUUGGGACUGAGACACGGCCCAAACUCCUACGGGAGGCAGCAGUGGGGAAUAUUGCGCAAUGGGGGGAACCCUGACGCAGCAACGCCGCGUGAGUGAAGAAGUAUUUCGGUAUGUAAAGCUCUAUCAGCAGGGAAGAAGAUGACGGUACCUGCAGAAGAAGUCCCGGCUAACUACGUGCCAGCAGCCGCGGUAAUACGUAGGGGACAAGCGUUAUCCGGAUUUACUGGGUGUAAAGGGAGCGUAGGCGGCCAGCCAAGUCAGAAGUGAAAUCCCGCGGCUCAACUGCGGGGGUGCUUUUGAAACUGGAGGGCUUGAGUACUGGAGGGGCAAGCGGAAUUCCUGGUGUAGCGGUGAAAUGCAUAGAUAUCAGGAAGAACACCGGAGGCGAAGGCGGCUUGCUGGACAGAGACUGACGCUGAGGCUCGAAGGCGUGGGGAGCAAACAGGAUUAGAUACCCUGGUAGUCCACACCGUAAACGAUGGAUACUAGGUGUAGGGAAUAUUAAGUUCUCUGUGCCGCCGCAAACGCAUUAAGUAUCCCACCUGGGGAGUACGACCGCAAGGUUGAAACUCAAAGGAAUUGACGGGGGCCCGCACAAGCAGUGGAGUAUGUGGUUUAAUUCGAAGCAACGCGAAGAACCUUACCAGGGCUUGACAUAUACAGGAAUAAUCUAGAGAUAGAUUAGCUCUUCGGAGCUUGUAUACAGGUGGUGCAUGGUUGUCGUCAGCUCGUGUCGUGAGAUAUUGGGUUAAGUCCCGCGACGAGCGCCAACCCCUUGUUUUCUAGUUGCCAGCACGCUUAUGGUGGGGAAACUCUUAAAAAGAACUUGCCCGGGGAUAAAUCGAAGGAAAGGUGGGGG